UUACUGCUGAAGAGUCCCAAACUAGGACGAGACAGCUGUCCAGUAC
rnacentral:hammerhead_ribozyme from 1 species